GGAGGGGUUAGCUCAGUGGUAGAGUGCCUGCCAAGCAUGCACAAGGUCCUGGGUUCAAUCCCCAGUACCUCCA
rfam:Camelus ferus unplaced genomic scaffold scaffold8058, whole genome shotgun sequence.